AAUACAUUUAAUUUGGAAUCAACAACAGAAGUUGUGAAAGUUGAUUUUUUUUUUCUUUUUUACUCCAUCGACGACUGAAUUUUAUAAAAAUCAACUCUAAGAAUAAGCGAGGCAGCUGACUGGAGAGGAGGGAGUUUUCUGGAGGAGAGACACUGAGGGAAGCUCUGGAGAGGAAAGAGAGAGAUGUUAAAGAGAGCAGAGAGAGGGAAAGAAACAAGAUAAAAGAAAGAUGAAUACAUUUAAUUUGGAGUCAAUAACAGAAGAUGUGAAAGUACUACAAAUUAAUUGAAUGCAUUGAAACAUCUGCAAACCCUUUGAAAUACAAAAAAGUGUGCAUCAUAUACAUCCUAUUUCUUUACUUUUAUAGCAGGAUUUGUCUGCACUGACUAUUUUGUUGCAAUACUAUGUUUGUUGGCACAACACUGCUGUAAACUGUUGAUCAGGGGAAUCGUGUGAAACCGGCAGCAUGAUGUACAUCACGUUGCCCAUGUGCUCGCAACAGUUUGUAAUAGUGUCAGCUGACUAAAUAUUGAUUUCAAUGAU